ACAGUUUUUAACAUGUCCGCCGAAGAUGGUCCGCACUUUAGUUUGUCGUUGAUUCUGUAAGAGUGCGGCUUAGGGAGCGGAUAUAUCAGAACAGUUUUGUUAAGUGAAAUAUUUCAGUCAUCCGUUGAUGUAUUAACAUACAUAUGUAUAAAAAUAGACGAGCUAUAAGAAAUUAAAUAUUCCUUCAAUAAAUUAAGCAAAUCCACGAAAAAUACACAAAAGGAAUAAUGAUUUAACACCAUCCGAUAGAAAAACUAAAUGUUAUAUGUUCGAAAAUUUACUGUGUUUGUAUUUACUAAAUAUCGAAUACAGCUGUCAGCAGCAGCAACCGUAGCGGAGUUUGGCGAAUUUUAAACAAACAAAAAUCAAUAAACACAAAUUUAAAUAGCUGAAAAUGUUCCUCAACCUAAACGGACAUAAAUAAAAUUAUUGCAACGAAUAUAACGACCAAUGAGGUAUAAAUAAAUAUAAGUAUCAUUACCAAGCCAGUCAAAACAUUGAAGCCAUCUCAAGAAAAUUUUCAUAAAUUUCAUUUUCAAUUAAGUAAUGAAUUACGGAACGUGUUGUUGGAUUACAUGCACCACGGAAAAUAAUUAAUUGAUGAAAUUCAGUUACGUUCGAGUACUAUCUGAAGGAGUCUAUGCUGAGCCUAAAUGGUUUACUUAAUCAUUAUGCGAUUGUUUGGUAACUCUGCCAAUUGUUUAAGGAACAUAAGAAUUGAGGAAAACCCAAGAACUAAUCCGCCCGCUGUGGAAAUUGGAAAAUCGAGAAACGAUACACGGAAUGAAGUGUCAACUAAGCCUACCCCAAAGGAUUGAAACGGAAUACGAGAGUCGUUUGGUCAGUGCGCGUCAGUCGAUCGUCUAAUCCUACGAAAUUGACUUUUGAUUGCACGACUCCAACACACAGUAUCACCCACGUGACUUUCCAUGAGGGAGGGUAACUUUUCACCUGCUCGAUCCAUGCUCAUGCUGCUGACCGAACGUGACACAUGGUAAUGUAACUCAUGACAGUAAGAUAUCUAUCGUCGCCUGUGCUGUUAAAAUCACGCGGUCGUCACUGCCGCCACCCCAACAGCUGCAGCUCCGACACCGACUACUGCUGCCUGGAUGCCGGCAAUCCAGACAGCUAUCCUGGAGCGUACGAUACAUAUGACUUGGAAAUGGGGGUCUAGCAAAUCGAGCUUGCCGCAAAAUCAGUUGGGCACAACCGUGUCGCAGACGAUGUCGUCUAAUACGAUGUACCCAAAAAUCCGCACAAACGCAGCCAAUGUGAUAUUAAUUUUGUGGUACGCUCUUCGGUAAUUAAGCAAAAUGUUUUG